ACGCCUAACACAUGCAAGUCGAACGAAGUAGCAAUACUUAGUGGCAGACGGGUGAGUAACAUGUAGGUAUCUGCCCUUUGGCCUGGAAUAACACGAGGAAACUUGUGCUAAUACCGGAUAAGUCUUUACGGAGAAAGCUUUAUGCACCAUUGGAUGAGCCUGCACUUGAUUAGUUUGUUGGUGGGGUAAUGGCCUACCAAGACUGUGAUCAAUAGCUGAUUUGAGAGGAUGAUCAGCCACAUUGGGACUGAGACACGGCCCAAACUCCUACGGGAGGCAGCAGUGGGGAAUCUUGCACAAUGGAGGAAACUCUGAUGCAGCGAUGCCGCGUGAGUGAAGAAGGCCCUUGGGUUGUAAAGCUCUUUCGUCGGGGAAGAAAAUGACUGUACCCGAAUAAGAAGGUCCG
rnacentral:rRNA from 1 species